CUUCCCAUUCUCCACAUGUGAAUUGAAGGAGAAAACCCUAAUAAUUAAUACAAUGGGAUGUACACUCUGUCAUGCGCUUUGUUGUGGAGUCAUUAUGGCCUUAUUUAUUCUGGCAGUACCAAUGGCACAAACUUUAAUACACAUAUAUCAAUUUAACAAUGAAUGGACUCUUGGUGGUAUUUUACAUUCAACUAACUCCGUUGCUACCGCUAUUAUGGCAUUUGCUAUAAUGGUACCUAAAAGUUUGCCACUCAUCCCAACUCUCUCACUUGCCUAUGCACUGAAGAAAAUGAUGAAUGAUAAGAUUUUGUUACACCGUUUUGACACUUAUGAAACAAUGGGAAAUGUAAGUGUUAUCUGCACAGACAAAACUGGAAGUCUCACAGUUGACAGAUUGCAAGUCGUAAAGUCACACAUCUGUGACACAUUGUACCUUUCUACUCCCCCAUUUCACAAUCUACCAGAUCCUGUUGGAAAUAUUAUUACACAUAAUAUUUCAAUAAACACAUCAUAUUCAUCUCGUUUGUUGUUAUCUAUCCUUGCUCACUUUAUGGCAGCCUGAGAUACUACCUAGGAUUAGUUGAACUAAAUUGGAAAAUCAGUUUCAUACAUAAAACUAAGCACAACAUUGGAUCUGGUGUUAUACUCUUUACAACUACCAGAAUUGGAAAAAGGACAAAAACAUAGCAAGAAACUAUGUCAUCAAGAUGACACUUUUUCCAAAACCAAUAAGUGCAAGUGCUAAGAAGCAGACCCAGAGUGGAAAUGAAUAAACAUUGAAUGAACAUAACUACAAAGAAAUUGUUUGGACUUACAAAAACCAAUAAGUGCAAGUGAUAAGAAGCAGACCAAGAGUGGAAAUGAAUAAACAAUGA